rnacentral:rRNA from 1 species
CUGAUGGUACUGCACCUGGGAGGGUGUGGGAGAGUAGGUCGCCGCCAACCACAAAACUUGAUAACAAGGAGUGGUUAUAUAGGGUGUGUGUUAUGUAGGAGGAGGUUUUUCUUCUUCUACG